CGCUGGCGGCGUGCUUAACACAUGCAAGUCGAACGAUGAUCCCAGCUUGCUGGGGGAUUAGUGGCGAACGGGUGAGUAACACGUGAGUAACCUGCCCUUGACUCUGGGAUAAGCCUGGGAAACUGGGUCUAAUACCGGAUACGACCAUCUGGCGCAUGUCAUGGUGGUGGAAAGCUUUUGUGGUUUUGGAUGGACUCGCGGCCUAUCAGCUUGUUGGUGGGGUAAUGGCCUACCAAGGCGACGACGGGUAGCCGGCCUGAGAGGGUGACCGGCCACACUGGGACUGAGACACGGCCCAGACUCCUACGGGAGGCAGCAGUGGGGAAUAUUGCACAAUGGGCGCAAGCCUGAUGCAGCGACGCCGCGUGAGGGAUGACGGCCUUCGGGUUGUAAACCUCUUUCAGUAGGGAAGAAGCGAAAGUGACGGUACCUGCAGAAGAAGCGCCGGCUAACUACGUGCCAGCAGCCGCGGUAAUACGUAGGGCGCAAGCGUUAUCCGGAAUUAUUGGGCGUAAAGAGCUCGUAGGCGGUUUGUCGCGUCUGCUGUGAAAGACCGGGGCUCAACUCCGGUUCUGCAGUGGGUACGGGCAGACUAGAGUGCAGUAGGGGAGACUGGAAUUCCUGGUGUAGCGGUGAAAUGCGCAGAUAUCAGGAGGAACACCGAUGGCGAAGGCAGGUCUCUGGGCUGUAACUGACGCUGAGGAGCGAAAGCAUGGGGAGCGAACAGGAUUAGAUACCCUGGUAGUCCAUGCCGUAAACGUUGGGCACUAGGUGUGGGGGACAUUCCACGUUUUCCGCGCCGUAGCUAACGCAUUAAGUGCCCCGCCUGGGGAGUACGGCCGCAAGGCUAAAACUCAAAGGAAUUGACGGGGGCCCGCACAAGCGGCGGAGCAUGCGGAUUAAUUCGAUGCAACGCGAAGAACCUUACCAAGGCUUGACAUGAACCGGAAAGACCU
rnacentral:rRNA from 1 species